UAAAAAAAAAUACAUAGUUUGCUGGUUAAUUGAAUUGUUUAAAUUUAGAUUUUUAGAAUUAACACAGUUCAAGCAAAAAUAAAUUGUUCAGUCACCAUCGGUAGUUCCCUUUUUACCCUGAGAGUCAAGCAGAUUCAGCACUGUGUAACGCUGCUUUUGACUAUUGGGGAAAAGGAACAAUGGUGACUGUUUCUUCAGCCACUCCUCAGGCUCCUCAUGUGUUUCCUCUGAUACCAUGUGGCUCUCCAAGUGGAGACACGGUCACUCUUGGCUGCAUUGCCACCGGUUUCACCCCCUCUUCAUUGAAGUUCUCGUGGAAACUCGGCACCGACAGUUUGGAAAACGUCACCCAGUACCCUUCAAUCCUGGAAAAUGACAAAUAUUUGGGAAUCAGUCAGGUUCAAGUCAGCCGACAGGACUGGGACGCUAAAAAGACUUUCCAGUGUGUUGCUGCUCAUCAAAGCGGGGAUAAACCUGCUUAUGUGAAAAAACCAGAUGUGCUGUAUAGGUCACCGAAUCUGACAACAAGUUUUUCCCUCGAUGAGGAAAAACAACAGGCUUCUUUCUACUGCUUUGCCAAAGAUUUUGCUCCUAGGAACCACAACAUCUCUUGGGAGAAAGUUGGCAGUGACAAAACCAGCAUCCUUGAUGAGACCAGUGUUUUCUCUGGAGGAAGAAAUGACACAAAUGGAGCUAAGCUGUAUUCUGCAGCAAGUUUGCUCACAGUAAACCCCACUGAUCUGACUCCUGGAGCCACAUUUA